rnacentral:lncRNA from 1 species
GCUUUCUCUUUUCCCCAGGCCCCAGCUGCUGUUAUGACUGGCAUGAAAAAUAUUACUGACAGAUUGGACACUGUAGUCCUCCAGACAACAUUAAUCUAUUGAUGAUUCUGAAGUGGAGACGUGAUUGAUGCAGUACCAGAAACUGGAAGUUGGCUGCAUUUUCAGAGGAUUUUUUCAGACAUCCUUCUGUCUUUAUUAAGGUAAGAGUACAAGGUAUG